AAAGCCUGAUCCAGCCAUGCCGCGUGUGUGAAGAAGGUCUUCGGAUUGUAAAGCACUUUAAGUUGGGAGGAAGGGUUGUAGAUUAAUACUCUGCAAUUUUGACGUUACCGACAGAAUAAGCACCGGCUAACUUCGUGCCAGCAGCCGCGGUAAUACGAAGGGUGCAAGCGUUAAUCGGAAUUACUGGGCGUAAAGCGCACGUAGGCGGGCAUUUAAGUCAGGGGUGAAAUCCCAGAGCUCAACUCUGGAACUGCCUUUGAUACUGGGUGUCUUGAGUAUGGAAGAGGUAAGUGGAAUUCCGAGUGUAGAGGUGAAAUUCGUAGAUAUUCGGAGGAACACCAGUGGCGAAGGCGGCUUACGGGUCCAUUACUGACGCUGAGGUGCGAAAGCGUGGGGAGCAAACA
rnacentral:rRNA from 1 species